GAUUCCGUAGCUCAGCUGGGAGAGCGCCACCUUGACAGGGUGGAAGUCGUUGGUUCGAGCCCAAUCGGAAUCA
rnacentral:tRNA from 2 species